GCUGAAAUAGCUCAGUUGGGAGAGUGUUAGACUCUAGAUCUAAAGGUCCCUGGUUUGAUCCUGGGCUUUGGCA